rnacentral:rRNA from 1 species
GACGAACGCUGGCGGCGUGCUUAACACAUGCAAGUCGAGCGGUAAGGCCCUUUCGGGGGUACACGAGCGGCGAACGGGUGAGUAACACGUGGGUGACCUGCCCUCAGCUCUGGGAUAAGCCUGGGAAACCGGGUCUAAUACCGGAUAUGACUCCAUGACGCAUGUUUGUGGGGUGGAAAGCCUUGUGCGGCUGAGGAGUC